rnacentral:lncRNA from 1 species
GAUGGUUGACGCUUCCUCAUGAUUAAAAUCAAUAUACGCAUUCCAGGUUGGAACAGAAGAAAUGCUGUAUUCCUCUGAGGACAUCACUUCUGAAGAUCACUCUUACAGGUUAAAGCAAAAGAUGCCGGUAUGAAUUCCAUUCUGUGAAAACAGCAUCCAGUGUUUUACUGAUUAAAGGAUGCAGUGCAAUAAAAUUUGCCAGUUUAAUGUCAUUCUUUGAACUAAUGCACGGAUUGGAGUUUCUGGAGCAAUGGCACCGGUGGCCCUAUUGUCAACAAAGAAUGCAUAAUGGUGAAGUACUCAGCAGUAAUUUUGGUGAUGUUUUCCCUUGCCUGUUUUGAAAGUAUUUCUGAAGAGUAUAAAUAAAUGUGCCCUAAACUCUCCCCCUUUCUCUAGGCUGAUAUUUGGAGCUAAGCUCUCAUUAGAAGGGCGCCUCAGAACUGCAGUGGCUGGAAUGCUUUCAGGGAAUAAAUGUGUGUCUCAAUGGCUUCCUCUCUUUUUAGUAAUAUUAGCACCAUAUAGAUUUAAUAACGGAGUGGUUGAAAACAUUUUGAUGAUGGGGCAGUUUCUCUGAUCUGCCUG